AUGCUAAACACGACAGCAGAGAGUACCAGCCGACGUCCUUUGGUGCGGACCGGAGCCGAGAAUAGUGGUGUCGUGGAUCUGUGUGAUAACAACGGUUUGUUCAUGGUGAUUUCAUGGUCGGUGUUGGAAGCUGAUUCGUGUGGCGGAAUCGAUGAAGGGUCGUAUGGAGGAGUUAGUGGAAGGAGUGCAGUGUCAAAUCAGAGAGAGUUUCGGGGUUCGUCAGAGCUGUGA